rnacentral:rRNA from 1 species
UACGUAGGUGACAAGCGUUGUCCGGAUUUACUGGGCGUAAAGAGCGCGCAGGCGGUCGAUCAAGUCGCGUGUGAAAGCCCCCGGCUCAACUGGGGAGGGUCACGCGAUACUGAUCGACUCGAAGGCAGGAGAGGGUAGUGGAAUUCCCGGUGUAGUGGUGAAAUGCGUAGAUAUCUGGAGGAACACCGGUGGCGAAGGCGGCAUCCUGGACCAACACUGACGCUGAGUGAGCGAAAGCCAGGGGAGCAAACGGG